rnacentral:lncRNA from 1 species
CUCAUCUGUAGCGUGCCACUUGGCCUUAGCGGCAUAACGUCAAGUUGGUGAGUCUCGUUCGUUCCAUUCGUCGCCCGCCUGAGUCCGUGUUGCAGAUAUGGAGCGUGGGCUCCUCACCCAAGCAGUGCAGCGGCGCCUGUACUGCCGCACACCACUGGUGGAAAGCCUGCUGUUGCACAGGAGCUACGUGCCGGAAGUGCCUGUCUUCUUGAAGCUUGAGAACUCCCAGUACACAGGAUCAUUCAAGCUGCGCGGACUAAGCCGGCUAUGCCAGCACAUGACCACCGGAUGUUGGUGGAGCCAUCGUGCGGCGCAACCUUGUCCGCUAUCUACAGUGGCUUGGCUUCCCAACUCUACCGCCAGGGUCGCCUCGAUGCUUCCCCCAAGCGACCCCUCGUGGCCAUUGUGUGCGGCGGAAGUGCAGCCACGCUCUGCCAGCUUGACGUCUGGAAGAACACUGCUGAAUCCAACGCGCGGAUCUCCGCGCAUUUCAUGGGAUAGGACACAACGUGACUUGUCGAUUAACUUAUGCUAUUAAUACUUACCACCGCGU